rnacentral:lncRNA from 1 species
CCAAGGUGGACAGAAGUGGUGCUUACAUUGUCAGGCAGGCUGCCAAGAGCAUUGUUGCAAAUGGUCUUGCUCGCAGGGCCCUCGUGCAGGUCUCCUAUGCCAUUGGUGUCCCUGAGCCCUUGUCGGUCUUUGUUGAGACCUAUGGAACUGGAAAGAUCCCUGACAAGGAGAUCCUUAAAAUUGUGAAGGAGAACUUUGACUUCAGGCCGGGAAUGAUCACCAUCAACCUGGAUCUCAAGAGGGGUGGCAACAAACGAUUCUUGAAGACAGCUGCCUAUGGACACUUCGGAAGGGAUGACCCUGACUUCACCUGGGAGGUUGUGAAGCCCCUCAAGUGGGAGAAGCCUCAGUCUUAAGUCUUGAGAUUGGUUGAUUCUGCCCUGC